CCUACGGGAGGCAGCAGUGAGGAAUAUUGGUCAAUGGACGAGAGUCUGAACCAGCCAAGUAGCGUGAAGGAUGACUGCCCUAUGGGUUGUAAACUUCUUUUAUAUGGGAGUAAAAUGUUCCACGUGUGGGACUUCGUAUGUACCCUAUGAAUAAGGAUCGGCUAACUCCGUGCCAGCAGCCGCGGUAAUACGGAGGAUCCGAGCGUUAUCCGGAUUUAUUGGGUUUAAAGGGAGCGUAGGUGGGUGGUUAAGUCAGCUGUGAAAGUUUGCGGCUCAACCGUAAAAUUGCAGUUGAAACUGGCAGGCUGGAGUACAGUAGAGGUGGGCGGAAUUCGUGGUGUAGCGGUGAAAUGCUUAGAUAUCACGAAGAACUCCGAUUGCGAAGGCAGUUCACUGGACUGCAACUGACACUGGGGCUCGAAAGUGUGGGUAUCAAACAGGAUUAGAUACCCCUGUAGUC
rnacentral:rRNA from 1 species